GAGUUUGAUCAUGGCUCAGGAUGAACGCUAGCGAUAGGCUUAACACAUGCAAGUCGAGGGGCAUCACGGAAUUAGCUUGCUAAUCUUGGUGGCGACCGGCGUAAGGGUGCGUAACGCGUAUGCAACUUGCCUGUCAGUGGGGAAUAACCCGGAGAAAUCCGGACUAAUACCGCAUACACUUUAGUUUCCGCAUGGGGACUUUAGGAAAGAUUUAUUGCUGACAGAUAGGCAUGCGUUCCAUUAGAUAGUUGGUGAGGUAACGGCUCACCAAGUCAACGAUGGAUAGGGGAGCUGAGAGGCUUAUCCCCCACACUGGAACUGAGACACGGACCAGACUCCUACGGGAGGCAGCAGUGAGGAAUAUUGGUCAAUGGGCGAGAGCCUGAACCAGCCAAGUCGCGUGAAGGAAGACGGUCCUAUGGAUUGUAAACUUCUUUAGUAGGUGAGUACAAGCAGUUAUCGUGUAAGCUGUAAGGCAAA
rnacentral:rRNA from 1 species